rnacentral:tRNA from 1 species
UGGCUCAGACGGUAAGCGUCUGUCUGCAAUGCAGGAGACCCAGGUUCAAUUCCUGG